rnacentral:rRNA from 1 species
AUUGAACGCUGGCGGCAGGCUUAACACAUGCAAGUCGAGCGGGGGAAGGUAGCUUGCUACCGGACCUAGCGGCGGACGGGUGAGUAAUGCUUAGGAAUCUGCCUAUUAGUGGGGGACAACAUCUCGAAAGGGAUGCUAAUACCGCAUACGUCCUACGGGAGAAAGCAGGGGAUCUUCGGACCUUGCGCUAAUAUAGGAGCCUCAGUCGGAUUAGCUAGUGGGUGGGGUAAAGGCCUACCAAGGCGACGAUCUGUAGCGGGUCUGAGAGGAUGAUCCGCCACACUGGGACUGAGACACGGCCCAGACUCCUACGGGAGGCAGCAGUGGGGAAUAUUGGACAAUGGGGGGAACCCUGAUCCAGCCAUGCCGCGUGUGUGAAGAAGGCCUUAUGGUUGUAAAGCACUUUAAGCGAGGAGGAGGCUACUUUAGUUAAUACCUAGAGAUAGUGGACGUUACUCGCAGAAUAAGCACCGGCUAACUCUGUGCCAGCCGCCGCCGUAA